AACGCACUCAAAUGCGGGCUUAGUGUAAAUGAGCGGGGAGGGGGAGGAGGCUUCACGUUUCAAUUUGCCCCGGUGCUUGAGUUUAAUUUGUGAAAAUUUACAAAUAUGUAGUCAGUUAGCUCCUCAAUUGGGUGUCGUUCACACGAUUUUAUAUGCGGCCGUUGGAAAAGCUCGAUCGGUGUAAAUUUUCUUAUUUUCCCUCCGUGACCGCGUGUUGCUUUUACUUGGUGGUUGUAUAAAUGUGUGUGUUAGUGUUGGAUAAAGGAGUUUUGUGGUGAUAGUGAUGAAUCUUUCGAGGAUCAAAUGGACCUUCCUCAGGGCAAUGUCAAAACUUGCGUGGCGCGGAAAAGACGAUGCAGUGAAAAAGGAUAAUUUCUCCCACAUUUCUCGGAAGAAAAGUCUUUGGGAAUUGAUGCGUCUUUCGUGUAUUAUGAUGGGAAUUGAAUUAGCUUAUUCCGCCGAAACGGCAUUCGUGUCACCAAUUUUGCUGAAUAUUGGAAUUCAUCAUAAAUACAUGACGAUGGUAUGGAGCUUAUCGGCUUGCUUGAGUAUCAUCUGUUCUCCCCUAAUUGGUCCCCUGACGGAUCAGUGUCGCCUUGCACUGGGACGCCGGAGACCUCUUAUGAUUUUCCUGUCAGUAUUACUUCUCUUGGGCUUGAUCCUUGUUCCACAUGGCGCCAAAAUUGGUCUCUGGCUUGAAUGGGUUACAAUGCCAGUAAAAAUAGAGAAAUCCUCAAGUCUCAAUCCGUGGAUAAUCUUCUGCACUGUUCUCGGAACUAUCGUACUGGACUUCAGUGCAGACAACUGCCAGACCCCAUCGAGAGCCUACCUGCUGGAUAUGUGCCUUCCAGCAGAUCAUACUCGUGCCCUUAGUACAUUUUCCAUCAUGUCGGGUAUUGGGAGCUUCUUGGGCUAUGCCAUGAGUGCCUAUGACUGGGAAUCCCUCAGCUGGACACACCAUCUCGGUGGAAACAUUUCAACUGUCUUUGCCGUUGUGGCUGUAAUCUUCACCAUUUCUGCUCUACUUACCCUCACCACCUUCCGGGAGGUACCAUUACCUGUCUUGGAAGAUCAACCAGUCUGUUCGCCUAUACCGUCCUGUAAGGACAUUCAACGAAUUCAGAGUGAAAGGAGAAAAAUCUCCUUUGGGGCUUACAUCAAAAGUAUCCUACGGAUGCCAGCGUCUAUUAAAAUUCUCUGCACAGUCAGUCUCCUCGGGUGGAUGGGUGAUGUCUGCUACACGCUCUACUUUACAGAUUUUGUGGGUGAAACAGUGUUUCGGGGUGAUCCAGGAAGUGAUUCACAGAGUCAGGAAUACGGAUUGUAUGAGUCAGGUGUACGUUUUGGAUGCUGGGGCAUGUCCAUCUAUGCAUUCUCCUGCAUUCUCUUCUCAAUGGGCAUGAAUUCGCUCAUUAAGAUCUUCAGAGAUUCUCCGGCAAAACGUCUUUUUUGGUAAUUUCUUUGCAAAAACGUAUUUUAAACACAAAAUUACAUAAUAUGUUUGACGUUCGUGUCUUCCUAUGACCGAAUGAACGCAACAGGAUUAAAUUGAUUUAAUUAUUUUUUCCAAAAUGAUCUUUUUAAUCAAAGAAGAUGCGAAGGAAGACGUUCUUGCAAAGGAAAUGUUCUCUGUGAGAGCAUCCGUAGUUUGUAGAAUAAAUAUCGCGAUGAAAAGAUCGCAUGUUUCUACAUUCUAUGUGUCAUGCGGACCUAAAAGAGUCAAAGAAGUUUGUUUUAAACCUUGCGCGUCCUCGAGAAACAUAGAAACAUUGAAACAUGCGCUCUUUUUAUCACAAUAUUUAUUCUGUGGAUGCUUUGAGAGGACAUUUCUCAGUCAGAACAUCUUCUUUGGCCUCUAUUGCGUGAAUUUGAUGCAUUUGUAACUUGGAAAAACAAUUAAAUUUAUAAAUAAUUUAAAAAAAUAAAAUGUUUCACGUUUUGGUAUAAGUAUGACCCAAAAAAAGAGAAAGGGUUAAUUUGAGCGUCUCUCGUGGUCAUUUUUUGAUGCAGAGACGCCUUGACGUUCAUUAUAUUGGUUUUGUACGUAUUUUUAUCAAAAUGCGGUUAAUUUAUCGAUAAUUAUGAUUAAUUCAAGAUAAAAAUUUUGGCGUGUUCAAGAAUUUGUCGUAUCAAUUUUUUUCGGUUUUUCAAUAAUUUUUAAAAUUAACAAAUAUUUAUUUUUAUAAAAUUUAGAAAGAGUAUUGAAUUACCUUUCAAACGAUAGUUUCUUUGUUAAAAUCGGUUCAGUAACCACCGUUAUACAAGAGGUUGAAGUGAAAAAUUAUUUCCAAUAAGUUUACCAAAAUGGCUGCCAAGAGUAAAGGCUUGAAAAUUUUCAGAAAUAAGAACUUAAAUUUCAUUAAUUUAUGGCAAAAAUGAAAUUAUAAACAAGUUCUUAAAUUAAAAGAUUUCAAUCGAACAACCAUACAAUGAUUCUGAAUUCAAAUUAAGGAAUGAAAAUUUCAUGAAAUUUUCCAAAUUUUCACAACCCUUUUAUCGAUUUUUCGAUGUGAGAAUGUUAUUAUGAAAGAAAAACAAAUAAGUGUUGAACAGAGAAUGUCCGAUGAAGUGAAAAAACUCAAAAUAAAGGAUAUGGCCAAUAUAGCUGAAAAAACCAUCAUAAGAUCCACAUCGAAGCAAAUGAAGCAUCUUGUUGAUUUCAUUGAGGCACACGUUGAGUCUUCUGGUUAUGCAGAAUCCGGAAUUCGUCGUGAUUCAACCACAAUGAUGACGGAUGAAACGUGGGAGAAGUUGGGAGGGGAACUGAAUGAAUUGGGACCUCCUGAAAGACCUUGGAGGGGCUGGAAGAAGGUUUGGAGAGAUCUGUCUGCUGAAGCACGAAGUAAGGUCCGACAUGGACUGGCUAGAAAAUCAAAGGCAUACAGCAAUAAGCCCCUGACACCACUGCAGAAGAAAACACUCAAAAUACGUCAACGUGUAAAUGAACUGAAACACAAAUCCGGGAAGACCGUUCGUGUUGGUAGAGCUUCCAAGACAUCUUAUGAUCAUUCUUAUAUUCAAACAAAACCAGAUUACUGUUCUCAAAUUCAAACAAAAACAGAAGGAGACUGCCACGACACAACGGAUACUCGUUUGAAUGAUGAAUUUCAUGAAGAUCAAGAAGAUCAAUCAAAGAUUCCAUUGGCAGAUCCCUCAGAUCCAUUGAAGAUGGAAGAAGAAUCAGUUGAAUACUCAUUUGAGCCUUCACCUCGUCAUGAUUCCCUUUGCGAAGCUCCGCAGCAGCAGCAGGAUGAUUGGGAACCGCCAUUUUAUCAAGAUGGCGGUGGUGCAACAAAAAAGAUGUGCAAGGAAGCACUGGAAACAAUAAAAGAGAGCAACAAGACAUUCCAGGAAUCCCUUGAUAGCAUAAAAGAUGGCAUAAAAGCUGCUGUGACGGAACUAAAAGCAAUCCGGGGCAUUCAAGCUGAACGACUUGACAUUGAGAGGAGUAAACUGAAACUCGAGAAGGAGAAAAUUCAACUAAUGAAGGAGGAAUUAGCAUACAAAAAGUCUCUACAUAUACAAAAGCUAGAGAUAUAGGAAAGAAUAAAAUCUUUAUUGAAAAGAGAAA